CUACACUGGCCGCACUCUGGUGCCCGCGUGCGCUUUUCAACGGCGCGCGCAGUUAAACGGGAAGCAGGGGGCGCGGUUCGCCAGAACGCGCCAACCUGCGCUGCCCCCGCAACGGUAAGCGACCGCAUUCGUCUGCAAGUCGAUCCUGACCGCGUGUUGAAAGUUCAACUCGCGAGUGUGCCACUGCGCGUCACGCGUGGGAAGGCGGGAUCGAGAGGUCGCCAGCCCGGAUACCGGCCAGAGGGAGAGGCACGUC
rnacentral:ncRNA from 2 species